CGGACAGCAAUAUGAAGGUCAGGCUGAAGACCUUACCCGAUUAGCUGAGAGGUGGUGCAUGGCCGUCGUCAGUUCGUACUGUGAAGCAUCCUGUUAAGUCAGGCGACGAGCGAGACCCACGUCCACAGUUGCCAGCAUACCCUCCGGGGUGAUGGGUACACUGUGGAGACCGCCGCUGCUAAAGCGGAGGAAGGAGUGGGCAACGGUAGGUCAGUAUGCCCCGAAUCUCCCGGGCUACACGCGGGCUACAAUGGUCGGUACAAUGGGCAUCUUACCCCGAAAGGGGAAGGAAAUCUCUUAAAGCCAAUCGUAGUUCGGAUUGAGGGCUGCAACUCGCCCUCAUGAAGCUGGAAUCCGUAGUAAUCGCGUUUCAACAGAACGCGGUGAAUACGUCCCUGCUCCUU
rnacentral:rRNA from 1 species